CAGUCGCCGCGGGAAAACGGAGGGUGCAAGCGUUAUCCGGAUUUAUUGGGUUUAAAGGGUCCGUAGGCGGACUUAUAAGUCAGUGGUGAAAGCCUGUCGCUUAACGAUAGAACUGCCAUUGAUACUGUAAGUCUUGAGUAUAUUUGAGGUAGCUGGAAUAAGUAGUGUAGCGGUGAAAUGCAUAGAUAUUACUUAGAACACCAAUUGCGAAGGCAGGUUACCAAGAUAUAACUGACGCUGAGGGACGAAAGCGUGGGUAGCGAACAGGAUUAGAUACCCGUGUAGUCCCUGUCUCUUAUAC
rnacentral:rRNA from 1 species